rnacentral:lncRNA from 1 species
GAAAAAUGUGGAGAAAUCUGAAACAUUUCCUGGUAUCCAGAACUUGAAAAAGAAGAGAGCGGGGCUUUCAAAAUCGCCCUAGUGUCUCUCUGCCUCCCCUGCCACUGCCAGCCAGUGCUCCAGGUCUUGGGCUUCAGAAGCCAUCAAGUGUCACGAUGGACAAACGGCUGUGUGGUGCCGGGGCCCUAUUAUUAGGCCGCCUGAUUUGCUUCGAACAAAGAAACGGCCGUGUUUUCUCUCUCCACAUCAGCUGGAGGUGGCAGUCAGAAAGCUGGCCUGAGGCCUGUUUGGGAUUCCAAGGAGUCUGUGUGCACAACUAAUUCCAAAUGACUAUUUUUUCGAUGUAUUUAGAGGGAGUGCGGCCUAAGGAGGCAGGCCUGGCAAGUCAGGGAAGCGUGGCGCUGGCGCUGCCUCUGCUCCCCACUCACUGUGACCUUGAGGAGGACUCUCAGCGUGCCCUGGUGGAGAGCAGUCUCCUUAGUGUGACCUUUGGAAGCCCAUUCACUCACUGUGACCUCAGAAAGACCAUUCACUGUGACCUUCAGACCAUUCACUGUAACUUGGAGAGACCAUUCUGUGCGUGCGACCUUGGAGAGACGAUUCCUUUGUGUCACCCACUCCGAACAUGGGGAGGUCAUGCACUGAAACGUGGAGGUGCUCACAUCUCCCCCAGAGCCUCAGCAUCCGUCUGUAAAAUGAGGCAGUUGCAGCAGUUCUCUUUCUCCACAUCUCCCCCGUGGAGUCAUGCACACAACAUGCAGGUAUCCACAAAGGCCUUCAGCUUUGUCCAUUCCUGUGGCUGUUGCUUUGAGGUUUUGUUGUGGAUUCUUUCUCCAAGUCAAGUUUGACAUCUGGAAGCAAGAUGGAACAAAUUCAUCUUUGGAGAAAUCUGCUCAGAAAUCCAGAGACAGGAGGAUAAAGUCCCUGCAUGAGAAUGUAGAUUGUGAAUUGUCCUAAUCAUGUAUUUAUGGGGUACUUGUUAUUUGCCAUGUUCCAUUCAGGGGGAUAAGCAGGCAACAGGGAGCAAAAUAGACAAAAA